GGUUAAGCGACUAAGCGUACACGGUGGAUGCCCUGGCAGUCAGAGGCGAUGAAGGACGUGCUAAUCUGCGAUAAGCGCCGGUAAGGUGAUAUGAACCGUUAUAACCGGCGAUUUCCGAAUGGGGAAACCCAGUGUGACUCGUCACACUAUCAUUAACUGAAUCCAUAGGUUAAUGAGGCGAACCGGGGGAACUGAAACAUCUAAGUACCCCGAGGAAAAGAAAUCAACCGAGAUUCCCCCAGUAGCGGCGAGCGAACGGGGAGGAGCCCAGAGCCUGAAUCAGCAUGUGUGUUAGUGGAAGCGUCUGGAAAGGCGCGCGAUACAGGGUGACAGCCCCGUACACAAAAGCGCAUGUGUUGUGAGCUCGAUGAGUAGGGCGGGACACGUGGUAUCCUGUCUGAAUAUGGGGGGACCAUCCUCCAAGGCUAAAUACUCCUGACUGACCGAUAGUGAACCAGUACCGUGAGGGAAAGGCGAAAAGAACCCCGGCGAGGGGAGUGAAAAAGAACCUGAAACCGUGUACGUACAAGCAGUGGGAGCCCCACCACUAAGCCAGUGGUGAACUCCACAUACGCAUCCUUUGCUGAAGGUGCGGUUAACGGAGCGCAAGCGACGUUCAACCUCAAAAGAAGCAGAGGGGGCUUAGUGGUGGGGUGACUGCGUACCUUUUGUAUAAUGGGUCAGCGACUUAUAUUCUGUAGCAAGGUUAACCG
rnacentral:rRNA from 3 species